rnacentral:tRNA from 1 species
GGCUUCGUAGCUUAGCUGGUAGAGCGCUUGCCGUUUUGGGGCAUGGUGUUUCUAUCGCUGGUUCGAAUCCAGCUGAAGUCC